UAGAGCUAAUACAUGCUGAAAAUCCCGACUUCGGAAGGGAUGUGUUUAUUAGAUAAAAAACCAAUGCCCUUCGGGGCUCUUUGGUGAUUCAUGAUAACUUUACGGAUCGCAUAGCCUUGCGCUGGCGACGGUUCAUUCAAAUUUCUGCCCUAUCAACUUUCGAUGGUAAGGUAUUGGCUUACCAUGGUUUCAACGGGUAACGGGAAAUUAGGGUUCGAUUCCGGAGAGGGAGCCUGAGAAACGGCU
rnacentral:rRNA from 1 species